rnacentral:rRNA from 1 species
AUUGAACGCUGGCGGCAUGCCUUACACAUGCAAGUCGAACGGUAACAGGUCUUCGGAUGCUGACGAGUGGCGAACGGGUGAGUAAUACAUCGGAACGUGCCUAGUAGUGGGGGAUAACUACUCGAAAGAGUGGCUAAUACCGCAUGAGAUCUACGGAUGAAAGCAGGGGAUCGCAAGACCUUGUGCUACUAGAGCGGCCGAUGGCAGAUUAGGUAGUUGGUGGGAUAAAAGCUUACCAAGCCGACGAUCUGUAGCUGGUAUGAGAGGACGAUCAGCCACAGUGGGACUGAGAAACGGCCCAGACUCCUACGGGAGGCAGCAGUGGGGAAUUUUGGACAAUAGGCGCAAGCCUGAUCCAGCAAUGCCGCGUGCAGGAUGAAGGCCUUCGGGUUGUAAACUGCUUUUGUACGGAACGAAAAGCCCUGGGUUAAUACCCUGGGGUCAUGACGGUACCGUAAGAAUAAGCACCGGCUAACUACGUGCCAGCCGCCGCCGUAAUAC